UUGAUCCUGGCUCAGAAUCAACGCUGGCGGCGUGCCUAACACAUGCAAGUCGAACGCGAAAGUCCCGCAAGGGAUCAGUAGAGUGGCAAACGGGUGAGUUACGCGUGGGUGACCUGCCUUCGAGCGGGGGAUAACGUUCCGAAAGGGACUCUAAUACCGCAUGACAUCCUGCCUUUGAAGAGGCGGAGAUCAAAGCUGGUGAUCGCAAGACCUAGCACUUGAAGAGGGGCCCGCGUCUGAUUAGCUAGUUGGUGGGGUAACGGCUCACCAAGGCAUCGAUCAGUAUCCGGCCUGAGAGGUCGGACGGACACACUGGGACUGAGACACGGCCCAGACUCCUACGGGAGGCUGCAGUGGGGAAUUGCUCGCAAUGGGCGCAAGCCUGACGACGCAACGCCGUGUGGAGGAUGAAGACCUUCGGGUCGUAAACUCCUUUCGAUCGAGACGAAUGGCUUCCGGGUGAACAAUCCGGGAGAGUGACGGUACCGAGAGAAGAAGCUCCGGCUAACUCCGUGCCAGCAGCCGCGGUAAUAAGGU
rnacentral:rRNA from 1 species